rnacentral:lncRNA from 1 species
GGUGCUAAACAGAAGUUAGAAUAAAUAAUUACAUACAAAAUAAGUCUAAAAAUAUUGUCGUUGAAUUAAAAUACGUUAAUCAUCGUCUCAUUAGUACUACGAAUGAAGUCGACAAACGUAUUGUUAAUGAAAUAACCUCAAUUAAUAACCAAGUCACAGAACUCGCAUGAGUCAUUAUUUCAUCUUGAUCAUACGUGAUGAUUAGCAAAAAAUAAAUACAACACGAAAAUAAAAUUAAUCAGAUUAUAGCGUGGCUAUUUUUUGGAACUGUCUAAUUCCUCUUCGAAAAGUAGGUGCUUUACUAUACGAUAUCUGGCAGAUAGCAUAUCUGCGGCAUUAAACAUGAUAAUAUUAUCAAUUUAUACAAAAUAUUUAAUUGCAGAAUAUUCAUGUGUGACUUUGUAAAUUGUAACAAUAUAAAAGUGUAAAUAUUUUAUUGAAGAAUUGAAACCUCCAACAGUACUUUAAAACACAUCCCUUAAAUAUUCGAAACGAUUAAGUUAAUUAAUGAAAUAAUAAUCUAUGUCAUCGUCAACAUUAGAAGCCUAUCCUUUAUGCACGUCUUCCCAUCAUUUAUGGGAUUACCAUCCCAUACCCACAUCAAUAAACUGCAAGUUUAAAUUGUGGUCCGCGAGCAAUACUGGGCAUGCUCAAAAUGGCCUUUUGGUCAGCGCAUGCUUGCAAUCGCCGUGGGAGUGCUGCUCGGAACAGUGAUAGCAUUAUCCUGUAUCGUCGGAUUGAACAAUCGGGACGUCGUGGACAACCUACUACCGGGACUUCUGAGAUCGAAUCCUGAGAAAUGAGUUUUGGCUUCUUGAAGUUACUUAAAACUGGAUUCAACAUUUUGUCGUAAGAUUUUAUGACUGUACACCUAUAUUUGUCAGUAUUCAAAAUGUAAACUGGCAAAUAAAGAGUUAUACUCCAAUAGACUAAGGUUUGGUGUUACUAAACCAUUUUAACAUUUUGAAGCUAUUUCAAAACUGGACUCAAAAUGUCAUCCAAGGUUUUAAUGACUUGAUACUUAUAUUUGUUAGUUAACAAAGUAAAACUGACAAACAAAUGUAAUGGAGUUACAUUCCACUCAUCUAAGGCUUAGUAAUAUUAAGUCAGUCUUAUUAUAUUCUCUAAUAUUAAGACAAAUAUUCUGACUGAAUUACCUAUUAUUACCAGUACAGCAGAUUAUUACCAUUGUAUUGGAAAUAAAAGAAUUUUGGACGCAAGUUCUAUAUGUGAUUCAUAUGUGAUCUAGGCAUCCAUUAAACAUGUAUCUAUUGACACAAUAAUUCUUACUAGAAAUUGUUUUAAAAGAAAAAAGUAGGAUUACAAAUACUGACCAAAUAGUUUAGAUCAUGUAUUGGCCUAUUUGGCCCCCAAAGAUUUGCCAAUGAUGAUCUCUUAUCUGCAUAGAAAAGCAUUUUGGUAAUGCUUACGAGAAUAGUAGAAAUCAAGUUUCGCUAAAGAUUGCUUGUAUUUUUCGAGUAAAAGAUCUUUUGGCUUGAAUAUUAAUAUCUUCCAAUAGUUUGAUCUUACAUUUAGACGAUGCCCAUCCAAUGCUUGUCUUGGUAUACUUCUGCAAUUGUGAUUAGGUUAAUAGUAAGAGAAAACAUAGCAGUAUUAAAAUAAGGACAAAAUAGAGUGAGUGUGUGAAAUAUUGGAAUGGGUGACUAAGUGUGAGCAUUUUAAAGAUCCCAACUGUAUAUAGGUUUAGGUUGAAUAGAUUAAAUCAGAACAUUAUGUUAAUAUUUAAUAUUCUAAUU